rnacentral:rRNA from 1 species
GAUGAACGCUGGCGGCGUGCCUAAUACAUGCAAGUCGAGCGAACAGACGAGGAGCUUGCUCCUCUGACGUUAGCGGCGGACGGGUGAGUAACACGUGGAUAUCCUACCUAUAAGACUGGGAUAACUUCGGGAAACCGGAGCUAAUACCGGAUAAUAUAUUGAACCGCAUGGUUCAAUAGUGAAAGACGGUUUUGCUGUCACUUAUAGAUGGAUCCGCGCCGCAUUAGCUAGUUGGUAAGGUAACGGCUUACCAAGGCAACGAUGCGUAGCCGACCUGAGAGGGUGAACGGCCACACUGGAACUGACACACGGCCCAGACUCCUACGGGGGGCAGCAGUAGGGAAUCUUCCGCAAUGGGCGAAAGCCUGACGGAGCAACGCCGGGUGAGUGAAGAAGGUCCUCGGAUCGUAAAACUCUGUUAUUGGGGAAAAACAAAUGUGUAAGUAACUAUGCACGUCUUGACGGUACCUAAUAAGAAAGCCACGGCUAACUACGU